GGGUGCCAUCAUCGGAGUCAUCGACUCAGGUAUAUGGCCCGAGUCGCCAAGCUUCAAUGACCGAGGGUAUGGCUCAAUACCGUCACGAUGGAAAGGCAAAUGCAUGGUCGCAGACUCCUUCGGACUCAACAACUGCAGUCGCAAGAUUAUCGGAGCUCGUUGGUACACCGGUGGAGUUGCCGCCUGGGUUCUAAAGGGUGAAUACAUGUCUCCCCGUGACUUUAGUGGCCACGGCACUCACACCGCCUCGACAGCUGCAGGCGAAUUUGUUGC
rnacentral:misc_RNA from 1 species